UUAGACCAUAGUAGUUCAGGUCCUGCCAUU
rnacentral:piRNA from 1 species